rnacentral:ncRNA from 1 species
UGCUACGAUAACUCCUCCAAAACAUAAAUUGUAUAGGACGAAAAAACGCUAAAUAAUGCAUCACAUAGCUGGCUUACCCGCUGAUAUUUAGAAAAAUUGUCUGCGCUAUCAACCUGAUGGUAGUCUAUAAGCUUACCAUGGUUAUUACGGGUAACGGAGAAUAAGGGCUCCACUCUGGGGAGGGAGCCUUACAGUUAGAAACGGUAACCACUUCCAAGGAGACAGCAGGCGCGAAUCUUAUCCAGUCUUGAAUAGAUGAGAAAAUGGCUAGAAUUAAGAAAACCGUUUCUAUAGGAUGGUCAUUCGUCUGAGUUGAUCAUGAACCUUUCUUCGAGGAUCAAGUGGAAGGCAAUUCUGGGUGCCAGCAGCCGGGAUAAUUUUAAUUCCACUAGUG